rnacentral:rRNA from 1 species
UACGUAGGGGGCAAGCGUUGUCCGGAUUUAUUGGGCGUAAAGAGCUCGUAGGCGGCCUGUUACGUCUGCUGUGAAAUCCCGGGGCUUAACCCCGGGCGUGCAGUGGAUACGGGCAGGCUGGAGGCAGGCAGGGGAGAACGGAAUUCCCGGUGUAGCGGUGAAAUGCGUAGAGACCCGGAGGAACACCAGUGGCGAAGGCGGCUUCCUGGUCUGCGACUGACGCUGUGGCGCGAAAGCUAGGGGAGCAAACGGG